AUGGAGAAGAAGCCCCGCGCCGCCGGCGACGGCCAGGGCGGCGGCGAGGCCUCCGGCAGCGUCAGAGGAGGCCUGGUCGACAUCCUCCCCGAAGCGCUCCUGGUGGAGGUUGUUGGCCGGGUGGGGCUAGAGGCCGCCUGCUCCGCCGCAGCAUCCUGCCGCGCCCUCCGAGGCGCCGCCGGCGCCGCCUUAUCCUCCGUCGCAUCCCUAGACCUCUUGGCGUUUACGCCGACGAAUGCUAUCGCGAAUAGGAUUCUUGCCGGUAAUGGCAGGCUCCGCAGCCUCGCCGUCAAUUGCAGCCUACUCAACGACUCCGCUGUCGCUGCUAUUGCGAAGGAGAGCCUCCGCGAGCUCUCGCUGCUCAAGUGCUCGUCCUUCUCCCCGUACCUCUUUGUGGUGAUUGGUGAGAGGUGCACCAAUUUGAGAUCAAUUACACUGGAGAUGGCAAACUUGAAUGGCAGUGAACAUUUUGUGAUCUGCCGUAAGUCCAUAGCACAUAUGUUCAAAGGAUGUGAUUACUUGGAGAAUCUGUCGCUGAAAUUUCCUCUCCUAGCUCCAGGCUCUGUUGAUUUUGAUUCUUUGGUGCCUAUUAUGCCUAGUACCAUCAAGGUACUAUUGCUAAUGCCUGUGGCCAAUUGGCAAGCAAAGAAACUCUUCCCCAUAAGCGCAUCUCUGAAGACACCCUUCAGUGACAGUCUAGAAUCACUGUCUUUAGUUCUGGACAUAAUAACAGAUGAACUUGUUACCUUCAUCACUAGAAGUCUCUCAAACUUACUUGAGCUCUGCCUAGAAGACAACCCUGGAAGUGAAGCAGAUCUGGACAAUGAUCUGACCAAUAUUGGGCUGCAAGCACUUGGCUUAUGCCAGAAUUUGACACAUUUAUCUCUUACACGCAGUAAGCAGGGUUGUUCUUCCACCUUCAGAAGGGUAAACGACUUUGGGCUACUGAUGCUUGCUGAAGGAUGCAAGCAACUCCAAACCAUUAGGCUUGGUGGGUUUUCUAAAGUGAGAGAUGCUGGAUAUGCAGCCCUUCUCCACUCUUGCAAGGACCUGAGGAAAUUCGAGGUCAGUACUGCCUCAUGUUUGUCAGACUUGACGUGCCUCGAUCUUGACGAGGCAGCAACAAAGAUCACAGAAGUGAGGUUGCUGUCCUGCGGUCUCUUAACCAGUGAGACAGCAAUAUCUCUGUCAUCCUGCACCAACUUGGAGGUUCUUGAUCUGUCAGGUUGCAGGAGCAUUGCAGACUCUGGCCUGUCCUCCAUCUCGCAGCUUUCCAAGUUAACUCUAUUGGACCUUGCAGGAGCUGACAUUACCGAUGCAGGUUUGUCAGCACUCGGUAACGGGAGCUGCCCAAUAUCUUCCUUAUGCUUGAGGAGUUGCAGAAGGAUCACCAACAACGGCAUAGCCUCAUUGUUGUGUGGGAGUGGCACCAUCAACAAAACCUUGGCCGUGUUUGACAUUGGGAACGUACCAAGGAUAUCUGGUAGAGCCGUCACAUUGAUCGCCAAGAACUGCGAUCAGAUAAGCAGCCUGUGCCUCCGAAACUGCGUCCUCAUCACCGAUCCAUGCCUGGAGACUCUAGGUUUGGACCGGCAUGGCUCUGGCAAAAGCACCCUAAGAAUGCUUGAUCUCUCCUACUGCACUAGGCUGUCCCGCAACUUCCUGAGGCUGUUCGAUCUGCUGGUUGACCCACCGCUGUUCCGAGGCCUGCGGUGGCUUGGCGUCGGGAAGAAUGUGCUUGAACGUCGUGGGGGCAGUCCGACUGUCGCAGAGAUCCUGGAGCGGAAGCCAGGGCUGACGAUAUGUGGCAGUAACUGCGAGAUGGGUUGCAGGAACCAAUGCCAUCCUGACGUUCGCACCCUGUAA
rnacentral:rRNA from 1 species